rnacentral:rRNA from 1 species
UUCCGGUUGAUCCUGCCGGAGGUUACUGCUAUCGAGGUUCGACUAAGCCAUGCGAGUCGAAUGUAGCAAUACAUGGCGAACUGCUCAGUAACACGUGGACAACCUGCCCUUAGGACGGGGAUAAACCCGGGAAACUGGGUAUAAUACCCGAUAGGUCUCGAUUGCUGGAAUGCAUCGAGAUUUAAAGCUCCGGCGCCUAAGGAUGGGUCUGCGGCCUAUCAGGUAGUAGUGGGUGUAGCGUACCUACUAGCCUACGACGGGUACGGGUUGUGAGAGCAAGAGCCCGGAGAUGGAUUCUGAGACACGAAUCCAGGCCCUACGGGGUGCGGCAGGCGCGAAAACUUUACAAUGCUGGCAACAGCGAUAAGGGAACCUCGAGUGCCAGGUUACAAAUCUGGCUGUCGAGAUGCCUAAAAAGCAUUUCAUAGCAAGGGCCGGGCAAGACCGGUGCCAGCCGCCGCGGUAACACCGGCGGCUCGAGUGGUAACCGUUAUUAUUGGGUCUAAAGGGUCUGUAGCCGGCCGGAUAAGUCUCUUGAGAAAUCUGGCAGCUUAACUGUCAGGCUUUCAGGAGAUACUGUCUGGCUCGAGGCCGGGAGAGGUGAGAGGUACUUCAGGGGUAGGGGUGAAAUCUUGUAAUCCUUGAAGGACCACCAGUGGCGAAGGCGUCUCACCAGAACGGACCUGACGGCAAGGGACGAAAGCUAGGGGCACGAACCGGAUUAGAUACCCGGGUAGUCCUAGCCGUAAACGAUACUCGCUAGGUGUCGGCCACGGUGCGACCGUUGUCGGUGCCGUACGGAAGCCGUGAAGCGAGCCACCUGGGAAGUACGGCCGCAAGGCUGAAACUUAAAGGAAUUGGCGGGGGGAGCACCACAACGGGUGGAGCUUGCGGUUUAAUUGGAUUCAAC